AACGAACGCUGGCGGCAGGCCUAACACAUGCAAGUCGAACGUGAAGCCACCUUCGGGUGGUGGAAAGUGGCAGACGGGUGGAGUAACGCGUGGGAAUCUACCUAAUGGUACGGAAUAACUCAGGGAAACUUGAGCUAAUACCGUAUGUGCCCGAAAGGGGAAAGAUUUAUCGCCAUUGGAUGAGCCCGCGUCGGAUUAGC
rnacentral:rRNA from 1 species